AUUGAACGCUGGCGGCAGGCCUAACACAUGCACGUCGAGCGAGCGGCGGACGGGUGAGUAAUGUCUGGGAAACUGCCUGAUGGAGGGGGAUAACUACUGGAAACGGUAGCUAAUACCGCAUACCAUCAGAUGUGCCCAGAGGGGAUUAGCUAGUGGGUGGGGUAAGGGGUCACCUAGGCGACGAGCCCUGGCUGGUCUGAGAGGAUGACCAGCAACACUGGAACGGAGACACGGUCCAGACUCCUCCGGGAGGCAGCAGUGGGGAAUAGUGCACAAUGGGCGCAAGCCUGAUGCAGCCAUGCCGCGUGUAUGAAGAAGGCCUUCGGGUUGUAAAGUACUUUCAGCGAGGAGGCGUUACUCGCAGAAGAAGCACCGGCUAACUCCGUGCCAGCAGCCGCGGUAAUAC
rnacentral:rRNA from 1 species